CCUACGGGUGGCUGCAGUGAGGAAUAUUGGUCAAUGGCCGAGAGGCUGAACCAGCCAAGUCGCGUGAGGGAAGACGGCCCUACGGGUUGUAAACCUCUUUUGUCGGGGAGCAAAGCGAACCACGUGUGGUUCCUUGAGAGUACCCGAAGAAAAAGCAUCGGCUAACUCCGUGCCAGCAGCCGCGGUAAUACGGAGGAUGCGAGCGUUAUCCGGAAUGACUGGGGGUAAAGGGUGCGUAGGUGGUUUGGCAAGUUAGUAGCGUAACUCCAAGGCUCAACCUUGGAACUACUACUAAAACUGGUGGACGUGAGUGGAGGAGGGGCAAGCGGAAUGCGUGGUGUAGCGGUGGAAUGCGUAGAUAUUAGGAGGAACACCAGUGGCGAAGGCGGGUUGCUGGACUGUAACUGACACUGAGGCACGAAAGCGUGGGGAGCAAACAGGAUUAGAUACCCGGGUAGUC
rnacentral:rRNA from 1 species